AGGAAAAUACUUAUGACCAGACAGUAAAGAUGGUAGCCUAACAUCAGAGAGGUAAAUUUACUAAAAGAAGAGAAAAGAGACACAUCACUCACAAAUUACUGAAAUCGUCAAUUCUUGUGUUCUGGGUUCAGACUCUACUAAGUGGACACUUCAAGGUUCCCUACUCUAGGAAAUUUCUAGAUUCGUCUUCAAGUCAAAUGUUCUCCUAAGAUAUGGAGGAACACUUCUGUAUCCUAGUUGAGACAAUGAGAAGUCAAACGGAAAUAAAUUCUUGAAAGGAAUAAGGCUUAUCAAAGACACCGUAUGUAAGUAAUUAUGAGAAGCUAUCACACAGAUGGUGGAUAAUAACAAGUAGCUGGGGAGGAUAAUUUCUUCCUUUUGACAAGUAAAGAGAAACGGCAUUUGACUUCUCUUCAGAAAUGAUUAAGACUCAAUGCUUGACAGAAAUAUAGUCUGCUUCCAUUUUCCUAAGAAAAGGAGAUCUAAUGUUGAUAAUCAACUUGUCUUUCAGAGAGCAGUUCAUUGCCCAUCCUCACUUUAACUUUUUUUUG